AUUCCAUGUUGAGGACACUUCAUCAACAAUUCUUUGUACCUUUCCUAUGACUUGUAUAAAGUUUCAAACUCCAUCUGUCGAAAAGAAGAUAUGUCAUUACUAAGCUU